UACGUAGGGGGCAAGCGUUGUCCGGAAUCAUUGGGCGUAAAGCGCGUGUAGGCGGCCCGGUAAGUCCGCUGUGAAAGUCGGGGGCUCAACCCUCGAAUGCCGGUGGAUACUGUCGGGCUAGAGUGCGGGAGAGGCGAGUGGAAUUCCUGGUGUAGCGGUGAAAUGCGUAGAUAUCGAGAGGAACACCUGCGGCGAAGGCGGGUUGCUGGGCUGACACUGACGCUGAGGCGCGAAAGCGUGGGGAGCAAACAGG
rnacentral:rRNA from 1 species